UACGUAGGGAGCAAGCGUUGUCCGGAAUCAUUGGGCGUAAAGAGCGCGUAGGCGGUCCGGUAAGUCGGUUGUGAAAACUGGGGGCUCAACCCUCAGAGGCCGACCGAUACUGCCGGGCUAGAGUCCGGAAGAGGCGAGUGGAAUUCCUGGUGUAGCGGUGAAAUGCGCAGAUAUCGGGAGGAACACCUAUGGCGAAGGCAGCUCGCUGGGACGUUACUGACGCUGAGACGCGAAAGCGUGGGGAGCAAACAGG
rnacentral:rRNA from 1 species